AUUGAACGCUGGCGGCAUGCUUUACACAUGCCAGUCGAACGGUAACAGGCCUUCGGGUGCUGACGAGUGGCGAACGGGUGAGUAAUGCAUCGGAACGUACCCAGAGGUGGGGGAUAACGCAGCGAAAGCUGUGCUAAUACCGCAUGUGAUCUGAGGAUGAAAGCGGGGGACCGAGCAGCAAUGUUUGGCCUCGCGCCUUUGGAGCGGCCGAUGUCGGAUUAGCUAGUUGGUGGGGUAAAGGCCUACCAAGGCGACGAUCCGUAGCUGGUCUGAGAGGACGACCAGCCACACUGGGACUGAGACACGGCCCAGACUCCUACGGGAGGCAGCAGUGGGGAAUUUUGGACAAUGGGCGCAAGCCUGAUCCAGCAAUGCCGCGUGCGGGAAGAAGGCCUUCGGGUUGUAAACCGCUUUUGGCAGGAACGAAACGGCGUCCGCUAAUACCGGGCGCUAAUGACGGUACCUGCAGAAUAAGCACCGGCUAACUACGUG
rnacentral:rRNA from 1 species